GACGAACGCUAGCGGCGUGCCUAAGAAAUGCAAGUUGAGCGAGGUGAUGGACUUCGGUCUGUUUACCUAGCAGCGAACGGUCGCGUAACACGUAAGCAACCUGCCUCGAAGUUUGGGAUAGCCCUCCGAAAGGAGGAGUAAUACCGGAUGUGGAUACAUUUAGACAUCUUUAUGUAUCUAAAGCAGCAAUGCGCUUCGAGAUGGGCUUGCGGCCUAUCAGCUAGUUGGUGGGGUAAGGCCUACCAAGGCGACGACGGGUAGCUGGUCUGAGAGGAUGAUCAGCCGGAUUGGGACUGAGAUACGGCCCAGACUCCUACGGGGGGCAGGCAAUUAGGAAUCUUGCGCAAUGGGCGAAAGCCUGACGCAGCGACGCCGCGUGACUGAUGAAGUCUUUCGGGAUGUAAAGGUCUUUUCUGAAGGAAGAAACAAAUGACGGUACUUCAGGAAUAAGCCCCGGAUAACUACGUGCCAGCAGCCGCGGUAAAAGUCAACGUCGACG
rnacentral:rRNA from 1 species